rnacentral:rRNA from 1 species
AACGAACGCUGGCGGCGUGCUUAACACAUGCAAGUCGAACGCGAAAGGGACUUCGGUCCUGAGUAAAGUGGCGCACGGGUGAGUAACGCGUAGAUAACCUGUCUUCAUGUCUGGAAUAAUACGCCGAAAGGGGUACUAAUACCGGAUAUUCUUGCUUUUCAUAAGUUAUGCAAGCAAAGGUGGCCUCUGCAUAUGCUACUGCAUGAAGAGGGGUCUGCGUACCAUUAGCUAGUAGGUGGGGUAAUGGCCUACCUAGGCGACGAUGGUUAGCGGGUCUGAGAGGAUGAUCCGCCACACUGGCACUGGAACACGGGCCAGACUCCUACGGGAGGCAGCAGUGAGGAAUAUUGCGCAAUGGGGGAAACCCUGACGCAGCGACGCCGCGUGAGUGAGGAAGGCCUUCGGGUCGUAAAGCUCUGUCAAAAGGAAAGAAGUGUACAAUGGCUAAUACCUGUUGUAUUUGACGGUACCUCUAAAGGAAGCACCGGCUAACUCCGUGCCAGCAGCCGC